GACGUUUUGGCCGAGUGGUUAAGGCGGUAAGUACAACGUGCAGACUUCAUGAGCUUCAUAGUCUAACAGAUUGGUAGACACCCUGCUAUUUCCAGUCAAGGUGUUCUCUUCGGAGGCACAGGUUCGAAUCCUGUAGACGUCG